UACGUAGGGGGCAAGCGUUGUCCGGAUUUAUUGGGCGUAAAGCGCGUGUAGGCUGCUCCGAAAGUCAGGUGUGAAAGCCCCGGGCUCAACCUGGGAAGUGCACUUGAAACCUCGGAGCUUGAAUGCCGGAGAGGGUAGCGGAAUUCUCGGUGUAGAGGUGAAAUUCGUAGAUAUCGAGAGGAACACCGGUGGCGAAGGCGGCUACCUGGACGGCUAUUGACGCUGAGACGCGAAAGCGUGGGGAGCAAACAGG
rnacentral:rRNA from 1 species